UACGAAGGGGGCUAGCGUUGCUCGGAAUCACUGGGCGUAAAGCGCACGUAGGCGGCUUGCUAAGUCGGGGGUGAAAUCCUGGAGCUCAACUCCAGAACUGCCUUCGAUACUGGGAGCCUUCGAGUUCGGGAGAGGUGAGUGGAACUGCGAGUGUAGAGGUGAAAUUCGUAGAUAUUCGCAAGAACACCAGUGGCGAAGGCGGCUCACUGGCCCGAUACUGACGCUGAGACACGAAAGCGUGGGUAGCAAACAGG
rnacentral:rRNA from 1 species